rnacentral:misc_RNA from 1 species
AGGUACAGAUGCCCUUAUCUGAUAGGCAUUCGCCCAUUGUUCUCUUAUUCUGGAUUCUGGAAGUAGGGUCUAAACUUCCACGUCUGCAAUUUGAAACGAGGAUCAUACUAAUAACUAAAAUAAGGGCCCAUAUAGGCCAAACUGGAAGACACCAUGGGUCACACUAUUUGGAUCAUUAGGUGAUAGAUAAUGAUACAUGGUGCUUAUUAAAGAUACACUGUAAUUUUAAGUGUUAGCUGACACAGAAUGUCCUCAUCUCUAAAUUGGUGAUUCAAAAAUCUUAAAACAGAAGGGAGUCAAUGGACUGGGGUAUCAAUGAUCCACUAACAAGGAUGUCACUUUUCAAGUUAAAAUUUUAGUUAUCAUUUCACUCCUAUAGCACUUUUUCAUUAUUUCAUUCAGGACAGUGAUUGAUCACUUCACAUUACAGGUUAUUGUCUUUGAGCUUGGGGAUCUGGUUUUUGUGUUCAAUUUUCAUGCAGAAAAUACAUAUGAUGGGUAUGUGUUCUUUGUUUUUCUCCAAUAAGCAAAAGUCUAUUGUUUUAGCAUGUGUGGACUGUGGACGUGAGGCUACAUGCCACUAUGUUCAAACGGUUUGAUAGGAAUUGCAUUCUGAUGAUUAAUUAUUUGUAUAGCCUUUCCAGUGACCAUCUGUGUUUCAAUCUGAAUCAUUCAGGUACAAGGUUGGGUGUGACUUGC